rnacentral:tRNA from 4 species
UGCGGGAUAGAGCAGUCUGGUAGCUCGCGAGGCUCAUAACCUUGAGGUCGCAGGUUCAAAUCCUGCUCCCGCUA